AGUGAACGCUGGCGGUAGGCCUAACACAUGCAAGUCGAACGGCAGCACAGUAAGAGCUUGCUCUUACGGGUGGCGAGUGGCGGACGGGUGAGGAAUACAUCGGAAUCUACCUUUUCGUGGGGGAUAACGUAGGGAAACUUACGCUAAUACCGCAUACGACCUACGGGUGAAAGCAGGGGAUCUUCGGACCUUGCGCGACUGAAUGAGCCGAUGUCGGAUUAGCUAGUUGGCGGGGUAAAGGCCCACCAAGGCGACGAUCCGUAGCUGGUCUGAGAGGAUGAUCAGCCACACUGGAACUGAGACACGGUCCAGACUCCUACGGGAGGCAGCAGUGGGGAAUAUUGGACAAUGGGCGCAAGCCUGAUCCAGCCAUACCGCGUGGGUGAAGAAGGCCUUCGGGUUGUAAAGCCCUUUUGUUGGGAAAGAAAAGCAGCAGGUUAAUACCCCGCUGUUCUGACGGUACCCAAAGAAUAAGCACCGGCUAACUUCGUG
rnacentral:rRNA from 1 species